GAUGAACGCUGGCGGCGUGCCUAAUACAUGCAAGUCGAGCGAACGGGCGAGAAGCUUGCUUUUCUGAUGUUAGCGGCGGACGGGUGAGUAACACGUGGAUAACCUACCUAUAAGACUGGGAUAACUUCGGGAAACCGGAGCUAAUACCGGAUAAUAUUUUGAACCGCAUGGUUCAAAAGUGAAAGACGGUCUUGCUGUCACUUAUAGAUGGAUCCGCGCUGCAUUAGCUAGUUGGUAAGGUAACGGCUUACCAAGGCAACGAUGCAUAGCCGACCUGAGAGGGUGAUCGGCCACACUGGAACUGAGACACGGUCCAGACUCCUACGGGAGGCAGCAGUAGGGAAUCUUCCGCAAUGGGCGAAAGCCUGACGGAGCAACGCCGCGUGAGUGAUGAAGGUCUUCGGAUCGUAAAACUCUGUUAUUAGGGAAUAACAUAUGUGUAAGUAACUGUGCACAUCUUGACGGUACCUAAUCAGAAAGCCACGGCUAACUACGUG
rnacentral:rRNA from 1 species